CGCUGGGAAGCUAAAAUGGGGAUAGCAUCAGCCUUUUAAGCUGAAGAAUGGUGGGCACCAAUCACCCCUAGCGA
rnacentral:tRNA from 1 species